AUUGAACGCUGGCGGCAUGCUUUACACAUGCAAGUCGAACGGUAACAGGCCUUCGGGCGCUGACGAGUGGCGAACGGGUGAGUAAUGCAUCGGAACGUGCCCAGUCGUGGGGGAUAACUAUCCGAAAGGAUAGCUAAUACCGCAUACGAUCUGCGGAUGAAAGCGGGGGACCUUCGGGCCUCGCGCGAUUGGAGCGGCCGAUGUCAGAUUAGGUAGUUGGUGGGGUAAAGGCUCACCAAGCCAACGAUCUGUAGCUGUCUGAGAGGACGACCAGCCACACUGGGACUGAGACACGGCCCAAACUCCUACGGGAGGCAGCAGUGGGGAAUUUUGGACAAUGGGCGCAAGCCUGAUCCAGCAAUGCCGCGUGCAGGAAGAAGGCCUUCGGGUUGUAAACUGCUUUUGUACGGAACGAAACGGCUCUGGUUAAUACCCGGGGCUAAUGACGGUACCGUAAGAAUAAGCACCGGCUAACUACGUGCCAGCAGCCGCCGUAACAC
rnacentral:rRNA from 1 species